ensembl:miRNA
GGCCCGCCUUUUAGGGACCUCGCUGCCUGGGCACAGGUGGAUGGACAGGCUGGCCUCUGGAGGACCUGCCAACCCUCAGAGCCCAGACCCACAUGGCCUGAGUUGGGGGCCAGG